AAGUCGUAACAAGGUUUCCGUAGGUGAACCUGCGGAAGGAUCAUUACUAAAGUAUUCAUUUACUUUACCAAACCGUGAACUGUUUUCCCCUCUCGAUUAGUCCAUGAGCUACGGACUAGUUGAGAGGUGGAUGCCCCUCUCGAUUAGUCCAUGGGCUACGGACUGGUUGAGAGGCCCCUUUUUUACUUAACCUUUUGACUAUAUAAAUUUUACUAGUGGGGAGUUAACAUAUACAACUUUCAGCAACGGAUCUCUAGGCUCUU
rnacentral:misc_RNA from 1 species